CCUACGGGAUGCAGCAGUGGGGAAUAUUGGGUAAUGGGCGCAAGCCUGACCCAGCAACGCCGCGUGAAGGAAGAAGGCUCUCGGGUUGUAAACUUCUUUUAUCAGGGACGAAGCAAGUGACGGUACCUGAUGAAUAAGCCACGGCUAACUACGUACCAGCAGCCGCGGUAAUACGUAGGUGGCAAGCGUUAUCCGGAUUUACUGGGUGUAAAGGGCGUGUGGGCGGGAAAGCAAGUCAGAUGUGAAAACCAUGGGCUCAACCUGUGGCCUGCAUUUGAAACUGUUUUUCUUGAGUACUGGAGAGGCAGACGGAAUUCCUAGUGUAGCGGUGAAAUGCGUAGAUAUUAGGAGGAACACCAGUGGCGAAGGCGGUCUGCUGGACAGCAACUGACGCUGAGGCGCGAAAGCGUGGGGAGCAAACAGGAUUAGAUACCCCUGUAGUC
rnacentral:rRNA from 1 species